CCUUUUGUAUAAUGGGUCAGCGACUUAUAUUCUGUAGCAAGGUUAACCGAAUAGGGGAGCCGAAGGGAAACCGAGUCUUAACUGGGCGUUAAGUUGCAGGGUAUAGACCCGAAACCCGGUGAUCUAGCCAUGGGCAGGUUGAAGGUUGGGUAACACUAACUGGAGGACCGAACCGACUAAUGUUGAAAAAUUAGCGGAUGACUUGUGGCUGGGGGUGAAAGGCCAAUCAAACCGGGAGAUAGCUGGUUCUCCCCGAAAGCUAUUUAGGUAGCGCCUCGUGAACUCAUCUCCGGGGGUAGAGCACUGUUUCGGCAAGGGGGUCAUCCCGACUUACCAACCCGAUGCAAACUGCGAAUACCGGAGAAUGUUAUCACGGGAGACACACGGCGGGUGCUAACGUCCGUCGUGAAGAGGGAAACAACCCAGACCGCCAGCUAAGGUCCCAAAGUCAUGGUUAAGUGGGAAACGAUGUGGGAAGGCCCAGACAGCCAGGAUGUUGGCUUAGAAGCAGCCAUCAUUUAAAGAAAGCGUAAUAGCUCACUGGUCGAGUCGGCCUGCGCGGAAGAUGUAACGGGGCUAAACCAUGCACCGAAGCUGCGGCAGCGACGCUUAUGCGUUGUUGGGUAGGGGAGCGUUCUGUAAGCCUGCGAAGGUGUGCUGUGAGGCAUGCUGGAGGUAUCAGAAGUGCGAAUGCUGACAUAAGUAACGAUAAAGCGGGUGAAAAGCCCGCUCGCCGGAAGACCAAGGGUUCCUGUCCAACGUUAAUCGGGGCAGGGUGAGUCGACCCCUAAGGCGAGGCCGAAAGGCGUAGUCGAUGGGAAACAGGUUAAUAUUCCUGUACUUGGUGUUACUGCGAAGGGGGGACGGAGAAGGCUAUGUUGGCCGGGCGACGGUUGUCCCGGUUUAAGCGUGUAGGCUGGUUUUCCAGGCAAAUCCGGAAAAUCAAGGCUGAGGCGUGAUGACGAGGCACUACGGUGCUGAAGCAACAAAUGCCCUGCUUCCAGGAAAAGCCUCUAAGCAUCAGGUAACAUCAAAUCGUACCCCAAACCGACACAGGUGGUCAGGUAGAGAAUACCAAGGCGCUUGAGAGAACUCGGGUGAAGGAACUAGGCAAAAUGGUGCCGUAACUUCGGGAGAA
rnacentral:rRNA from 1 species